rnacentral:rRNA from 1 species
UACGGGGGGAGCAAGCGUUGUUCGGAUUUACUGGGCGUAAAGGGCGCGUAGGCGGUCGUGACAAGUCACUUGUGAAAUCUCCGGGCUUAACUCGGAACGGUCAGCUGAUACUGCUGUGCUAGAGUACAGAAAGGGCAAUCGGAAUUCUUGGUGUAGCGGUGAAAUGCGUAGAUAUCGGGAGGAACACCAGUGGCGAAGGCGGCUUCCUGGCCUGUUCUUGACGCUGAGGCGCGAAAGCUAGGGUAGCAAACGGG